GGGACUAUAGUUAAAAAUAACAUUUGUUUUGCAGCCAAAAAGUAUUGUAUAUAAUCAAUUACUCUCA
rnacentral:tRNA from 1 species